CCCGAGACUAGAGUCACAUCCUGGCACUUCUAGUUGCCUUGGUGUGCUAGAGUACUCGGAGAGAAAGUACUGAUCUUUAUUCACUGGUUGGAUUUCAAUAUAGCUCAAUCAGUCACCGGCUCAGUAACAUGU